rnacentral:misc_RNA from 1 species
GCGAGUAAGACCCUGCCCUAGUGGCUCGGUCAGUCCCAUCAUAUACACCUUUAUUCGUGAACUCGUGGUUCGGCUGGACGAUGAAAGCUUUGGCGACUAGCCGUCCGUCGGUUCCGCUCUUUAUACCCUUUAUGUGAAGUCAAUGGAAAUUAUGAUAAUCUAAUA